rnacentral:rRNA from 1 species
UACGUAGGUGGCAAGCGUUGUCCGGAUUUGCUGGGCGUAAAGAGCGCGCAGGCGGUCGUUCAAGUCGCGUGUGAAAGCCCCCGGCUCAACUGGGGAGGGUCACGCGAUACUGAUCGACUCGAAGGCAGGAGAGGGUAGUGGAAUUCCCGGUGUAGUGGUGAAAUGCGUAGAUAUCGGGAGGAACACCAGUGGCGAAGGCGACUACCUGGCCUGUUCUUGACGCUGAGGCGCGAAAGCUAGGGGAGCAAACGGG